GCCCGUAUAUUUUAAUGGUGAGAAAAACAUGCUUAUACCAUGUGAGUGUAGGUUCGAUUCCUGCUAUGGGUA
rnacentral:tRNA from 1 species